rnacentral:tRNA from 1 species
GAGGGUGAUACAAGACCUGCUAAUUCUUUAACCUGGAAAUAAACACCAGCCCCCUCU